rnacentral:rRNA from 1 species
AUUGAACGCUGGCGGCAGGCCUAACACAUGCAAGUCGAACGGUAACAGGAAGCAGCUUGCUGCUUCGCUGACGAGUGGCGGACGGGUGAGUAAUGUCUGGGAAGCUGCCUGAUGGAGGGGGAUAACUACUGGAAACGGUAGCUAAUACCGCAUAACGUCGCAAGACCAAAGAGGGGGACCUUCGGGCCUCUUGCCAUCGGAUGUGCCUAGAUGGGAUUAGCUAGUAGGUGGGGUAACGGCUCACCUAGGCGACGAUCCCUAGCUGGUCUGACAGGAUGACCAGCCACACUGGAAAUGAGACACGGUCCAGACUCCUACGGGAGGCAGCAGUGGGGAAUAUUGCACAAUGGGCGCAAGCCUGAUGCAGCCAUGCCGCGUGUAUGAAGAAGGCCUUCGGGUUGUAAAGUACUUUCAGCGGGGAGGAAGGCGAUAAGGUUAAUAACCUUGUCGAUUGACGUUACCCGCAGAAGAAGCACCGGCUAACUCCGUGCCAGCCGCCGCGGUAA